AUUUAAUGUUAAUAUUGUCAUCUGCCGACAAGUUGAAAGAUAUGGAAGAUAAGUGUAACUCCGGGGAAUCGCACGGUGCAAAAACCAAAGAACCGGACUUUCUUUUAACAAGCAACACUUACAAAUCUAUUAAAGAAGACAGUUAUUAAACAAGGAAGAAAAAGAAGCUAUAGGCGAAGCGUAUAUACGCACCGAAAGAAUAAAAAAAUGAUGAUGCUGUGACAGAUGAAUAUCUAGAAAGUAGAGCGUCUUUUGUAGGAUCAAGUCUUUCUGUAACAAUUAGAGUAUCUAAGCCUCCAAAAAUUAUCGAUGUUGCCGACGGUUUGACAAACUUGGUUCUUCAAAAACGACUAGUCUACCCUAUGCAGGAUUUACAUGUCAAUCUAUAAUCCUUCUGGAAACACCGUCCGAUUUACGAAGAGAUACGACAAGACUUGCCACAGCCAAAGGUGCAUCAAUCGCUUGUGUAGAUGCCUCUCACAAGAGAAAGACUGGUCAUUUUGGUCAAUGAAGGACCAAUGGGCCAGAUUUUCUUUCACCAAACACUUUCCUAUGUAUUAAAGAAAACAGUUCUUGAUCGAAAAGAAAAAGAGUUUAUACGCGAAGCGCGUGGCGUACCGGAAGUGUAAAGAAAUUGUGAGGCUGCGACAGAUGAAUGUCAAGAAAGUUGAUCGUCUUUUGUAGGACCAAGUUUUUCUGUAACAAUUGGAGCACUUAAGCUUGCAAAAAUUAUCGAUAUGUUUCUUUCGAAUUUAUUUGUAUUUUAAACUAUGCAUUAAAUUUUGGAAAUCUAAUAUACCUAUGUUACUUGUUUGGUGUUGCCGGAGGUUUGACAAACUUGCUUUUUCAAAAGUGACGAACACAAUCAACCACUUGUAUGGCAAUGGUGUAAUGUAUAUUCGCAAUUGAAUUAUUUCAGGAUUUACAAAAAGAAACGGCAAGACUUGCCAAAGAUGCAUCAACUCCUGUAGUGAUAUCGAUGCUUCUCAGAAAGCCGACGAGUUCGAAGAUUUAGAACAUAAGUUCAACUACAAUCGGAUGGUGGAAGAACCAGAGAACCGGACUUUCCUUCAUCAAACACUUCCAAAUCUUACAUUGUAAUGUAUAUCUAGCUUGUGAUAUAGUAUAAUAUAGUAUUGUAUAUACAUAUAUGUAUAUAUAUAUGUCUAUAAUACAUUUAUUAUUUAAUCAAAAAAAGAAUACAACAGUAUCGAAGAAAGAAGAUAAAAAAUGAUGAAUUAAACCAAAUAAUAAAUUCGACUUUAAAAUCUGUUCAUUAAACUUGUUAACAAAUAUUUAUAACGACAUUGAUCCAUAAAUCACGAAGAUACGAAAAUAUAGUUGUUUAGUGAUUAUAAAUGCACAUAUGUUGCCAAUAUCUUGAUCCUUUAACAAGAUUAUGAAAAAUAUUUGAACGUACAGUUGAACACUAUCGAGUUAGAUAACGAUCGAUUAGUUGGAUUAUCG